rnacentral:rRNA from 1 species
UGGGGAAUAUUGGACAAUGGGGGCAACCCUGAUCCAGCAAUGCCGCGUGUGUGAAGAAGGUCUUCGGAUUGUAAAGCACUUUCGACGGGGACGAUGAUGACGGUACCCGUAGAAGAAGCCCCGGCUAACUUCGUGCCAGCAGCCGCGGUAAUACGAAGGGGGCUAGCGUUGCUCGGAAUGACUGGGCGUAAAGGGCGUGUAGGCGGUUUACACAGUCAGAUGUGAAAUCCCCGGGCUUAACCUGGGAGCUGCAUUUGAUACGUGUAGACUAGAGUGUGAGAGAGGGUUGUGGAAUUCCCAGUGUAGAGGUGAAAUUCGUAGAUAUUGGAAAGAACACCGGUGGCGAAGGCGGCAACCUGGCUCAUGACUGACGCUGAGGCGCGAAAGCGUGGGGAGCAAACAGGAUUAGAUACCCUGGUAGUCCACGCUGUAAACGAUGUGUGCUAGAUGUUGGGUAACUUUGUUAUUCAGUGUCGCAGUUAACGCGUUAAA